ensembl:lncRNA
AUGUCUCACUCAUUCAUUAUUUGUCUUAAUGCAGAUACCAUAUAUGGACCUUCUGAUGUGACCUACGUAAAGAUUGACCUGAAAUCAUUGAAUGAAAUUAAGAAGAAAAAGAAAGAAAACAAAGGAAAGGAGAGUUCUGACACGGUUUACUCCAAACUGAAGAUUUAAGGUUCUGUUGCUGGAUCUAUAUGAUGAAUACUCAAUUUUUAUCAACAAUGGAAUUCAAAAAUGUAUCAAAAGUUGGUUAAUUGGAUAUAUUACCCUAAUUAUUAAUCGUAUUGUUUAAAUUAUUCAUCAUAACAUGCAUAUAUUCAUAAUCCAUGAUAUUUUAAAACUAGAUUUGUGUCACCACAACACACAAUCCUUCUAACCGCUGAUACACUGGGUGCAUAAGCAUUCAUCUUACAUAACUGUUACAUUACUAAUAUGUCUAACAAAAUAUUAAACAUUAUAAGAAAAUAUGUCAUGGUAUGUUCAUGUAUUGAUCUUUCCUCUCAUUGUCCACUAGAUGUCAUCAUAGAGACGAUUUGGUAGUUUCAUCCAUAUUUUACUGUGUGCUAGUUUUUGAUAAUCUUAUUUUGGUAUUUACUGUAUGUUUGUCCUCUUACUUUCAUACCUGCACUGUUUGUACUUUAAUCAUGUAUGUUAAUAAAAUGUAUUUUCCAAACA